AGUUCAUUUGGUAAAUAUUUUCUUAACUCUUCUUGAACUGCACUGUUGGUUAAGGGCUGAUUCCCACAAGGCUUCAGACUCCAUGAUGGGAAAAUGAUUACAAAAAAGAAACUGAUGAAGACAGUCAGAGACAGAGUUGCCGAUUUCUAGUGUUACUUGUAAUGUUAAAAAUUAAGAAAUAGAUAAUCACAUUUUUCUAAAUUAGCUAGCUAUCUAGGCUACUCGCCAUACUAGAGGCAACAGAUUUGAGGCACCACUAAAAUAGUUAUUUUUAUGUUAUUGAGUAAGCCUAUAUCUUUGCUUAAUCUAAUUAAUCAAUGUAUUAAUCUAACAAUAUAAAUCCUUGUUAUUUUAAAAGAAAUGUAAGGUAUUUUACAUUGUUGACUAAAGUAGAAGCUCAUAUUUUGUUUCUAGGUACUUUCACUUGGUAAUGAGUAAUAAGUCAUUAUAUAGAACUUGCUCACAGGUAAGUAUAAAGUUACACUUAACUUUAAAUAGCAGAAUCCUGUGUAACAACUAGCGACAACCUUGUACUUAUGCAGAUAUUACAGAUAUGUACUCUGUGGUGUAUUACUGUGUUGAUUUUCUGACUUGGAUGGCACUUUCAGAAGCUGAUGAGUCGAUUGUCAGAAUGGGUGACA